UACAGAGGGGGCAAGCGUUGUUCGGAAUUACUGGGCGUAAAGGGCGCGUAGGCGGCCUUCUAAGUCGAACGUGAAAUCCCCAGGCUUAACCUGGGAACUGCAUCCGAUACUGGAUGGCUUGAAUCCGGGAGAGGGAUGCAGAAUUCCAGGUGUAGCGGUGAAAUGCGUAGAUAUCUGGAGGAACACCGGUGGCGAAGGCGGCUCUCUGGGACCACUACUGACGCUGAGGCGCGAAAGCUAGGGGAGCAAACAGG
rnacentral:rRNA from 1 species